CCCGCCUAGCCACUAUCCCGAGCUCGAGGAGCUCCCGUUGCCCUCCAUUGCCGCCAUGGCCGCCGCUCUGUUCGGCUCAAAUUCGAGCACGGCAGCCUCCCCUCCUCCUCCUGACCCCUCCAUUGCGUUCCCCUCCUCCCAGAGAGCAUCUCCACCCCACCCACUCGUCGCCGGAGCCACCCUUGGGCCGUGCCCCGAAGAGCACCGCCGCCUCUGCCUCCUUCCUGCCUCCUCCUGUCGCCGUCUUCCCUUCCAUCCCCGGCGACCGCUUCCCUCCUGGACGGGUGCGCCAGGCCCAGCCGCCCCCGCUGGUGGCCUCACCCUGGCCAGGGAUGGCCAGAGUUGGCCAGGCCGGCGCCGGCCUCUUCCCUGCCCUCGCUCCUCUGUCUCUGAUCGGGGAGGCAGCGAGGAGGAAGACGACGCCCAGCUGGCCCCUCCCCCUGAUGUGGGGGACCCACCUGUAAGUGGCCCAAGGCCCUGGUCCACGUGGAUAAGUGGAAGCGUCUUCUCACUGAGUCCGUUUUCAGUUGUUCGAAAACAUAUUUCCACUCGUACGCUUUCAUCUGCAAGAAAGCAUAUUUCCUUCUUCUUGUGAACAGAGUACGUUUUCUGAAUCAGAAAGCGUAUUUCCUCAAAUCUGUUUCUGUCUUAUCCACUCAGGGACCCGGCUGUGAAUAUUCUUUUUACAGAAAAGUCCCUGAUCUUCUACACCUCAUAACUCCGCAACCGUAACUUCGAUUGAGCCCCCUUUGAGAGAGUACCCUUUCCGACGAUUCUUUCCGCGGUCGUUCCGCACUUCUUCCCGGAGCCUUCUUCAUCCCCAGGCAAGCCACAACCACCAAUUGCAUGAUAGCCAUGCAUAAGCUUUGGUUUUCAACUUGAAUCUUUAAUAACUGUCUGUUUGUUUUGCUACCGCGGUCAGUAUUUCGGUUAUGCUUAUGGAUCGGUGUUUACCGUCAUGCUAUGUUUUCAUGCACUCUGUUAGUAUGUUCUUCAAGCUAGUAUUACUUUAAUAUUGGCAAUGUUUGGUAGUAGUA